rnacentral:rRNA from 1 species
CACGUGAGAAACCUGCCCUAGAGACCGGGACAACCGUUGGAAACGGCGGCUAAUACCGGAUGCCUUCACAUGGUCGCAUGGCCGAGUGAAGAAAUGCUCAGGUGCUCUAGGAGGGUCUCGCGGCCUAUCAGCUAGUUGGUGAGGUAACGGCUCACCAAGGCAUCGACGGGUAGCUGGUCUGAGAGGACGAUCAGCCACACUGGGACUGAGACACGGCCCAGACUCCUACGGGAGGCAGCAGUAGGGAAUCUUGCGCAAUGGGGGCAACCCUGACGCAGCAACGCCGCGUGUGGGAUGACG